rnacentral:lncRNA from 1 species
GGGGUGAGAAAUAUUUUUUAAAAAAUUAUUUUUUUGCAACUACUACUAAUUGUUAUUUAUUUUUACCUUUUUAUUUUAAAAACAUAAUGUAACUUGACAAACACUUUAUUUAAAAAAAAAAUAUGAAAUAUGAAAUAACAAAAUACUAUUGAUUGGUGAAAGGUUCAUCCUAGGAGGUAAACCUAGAACCCAAGAAAAACUCAUCAUGAACGGUGAUGCCUUGGAUUUCUAGGUGCAACACCUUACAUUUGCUUGGACUUGUCAAAACGUACCCGACCCAUUUCAAACACGAGACACAUCAUUGUAAACACGACUCUCCAAUAAGUCGAUACCUGCAUUCUUUCUUUAGAUUCAAAACCCGAUAGAGUUUAGUGAUAACUCUGUUGUUUUUAUUGUCAUCCUCGCCAGCUCCUCUAUCCUCGAUUUGUUCGUUUUAAACCAACAUGAUUUGUAACUUUUUUCCUCGGCAUCAAUUAGUGUUUUCAUUGAGGCU